UUUGUUUUGAGCUUCAUAUAGAAAACAAGUUAUUUUCCUUCUUAUUCAAUUUGGAACGUGCAAUUUUCUUUCCAAUUUUUUUCUAUUUUAUUUCAUUUUUAUUUAUUUAUUUAUUUAUUUGUUAUCAUUUAGUUAUUAUCACUAAUUUAGGAUAAAAUCUAUUUUGGACUAGUUUGCUUUUUUCAGCUUUAAGCCCAUAUAACCUUUAUUAUUUACACCUCAUGGUGUUUUUAUUUGUUUUUCUUAUGAUCGUGAUAAGUUGU
rnacentral:lncRNA from 1 species